rfam:Danio rerio chromosome 4, GRCz11 reference primary assembly.
GGCGCUGUGGCUUAGUUGGUCAAAGUGACUGUCUAGUAAACAGAAGAUCCUGGGUUCAAAUCCCAGCAGUGCCU